UGCCAGCAGCCGCGGUAAUACGGAGGGGGUUAGCGUUGUUCGGAAUUACUGGGCGUAAAGCGCACGUAGGCGGAUUAGUAAGUUAGAGGUGAAAUCCCGGGGCUCAACCCCGGAACUGCCUUUAAUACUGGCAGUCUAGAGUUCGAGAGAGGUGAGUGGAAUUCCGAGUGUAGAGGUGAAAUUCGUAGAUAUUGGGAAGAACACCAGUGGCGAAGGCGGCCACCUGGCUCGAUACUGACGCUGAGGUGCGAAAGCGUGGGGAGCAAACAGGAUUAGAUA
rnacentral:rRNA from 1 species